rnacentral:rRNA from 1 species
GUUUGAUUAUGGCUCAGAUUAGGCGCUGGCGGGAUGCUUUACACAUACCAAGUCGAACGGCAGCACGGACUUCGGUCUGGUGGCGAGUAGCGAACGGGUGAGUAAUGUAUCGGAACGUGCCUAGUAGCGGGGAUAACUACGCGAAAGCGUAGCUAAUACCAUACGCCCUUCGGGGAAAGCGGGGACCUUCGGGCCUCACCGCUAUUAGAGCAGCCGAUAUCGGAUUAGCUGGUGGUGGGGUAACGGCUCACCAAGGCGACGAUCCGUAGCUGGUUUGAGAGGACGACCAGCCACACUGGGACUGAGACACGGCGAACUCUACGGGGAGGCAGCGGUGGGGAAUUUGGACAAUGGGGAAACCUGAUCCAAUACAUCCCGCGUGUGCGAUGAAGGCCUUCGGGUUGUAAAGCACUUUGGCAGGAAAGAAAAAGAGCAGCCUGGGAUAAUGCCCGUGCAACUGACAGUACCUGCAGAAUAAGCACCGGCUAACUACGUGCCAACAACCAUGAAGCCACGUAGGGUGCAGCGUUAAUCGGAAUUACUGGGCGUAAAGCGUGCGCAGGCGGUUCAAGGAAAGAAAGAUGUGAAAUCCCCAGAGCUUAACUUUGGAACUGCAUUUUUAACUACCGAGCUAGAGUGUGUCAGAGGGAGGUGGAAUUCCGCGUGUAGCAGUGAAGUAGUAGAUAUGCGGGGAACACCGAUGGCGAGGCGGCCUCCUGGGAUAACACUGACGCUCAUGCACGAAAGCGUGGGGAGCGAGCAGUUAGAUACCUGGUAGUCCGCCUAAACGAUGUCAACUAGCUGUUGGAGCCUUCAGGCCUUGGUGGCUGGCUAACGCGUGAAGUUGACCGCCUGGGAAAUACGGUCGCAGUUAAAACUCAAAGGAAUUGACGGGGACCCACAAGCGGUGGAUGAUGUGGAUUAAGUCAUUGACACUUGAAAAACCUGCCUACCCUUGACAUGUCUGGAAUCCCGAAGAGAUUUGGGAGUGCUCGCAAGAGAACCGGAACACAGGUGCUGCAUGGCUGUCGUCAGCUCGUGUCGGUGUUGGGUUAAGUCCCGCAACGAGCGCAACCCUUGUCAUUAGUUGCUACGAAAGGGCACUCUAAUGAGGCGCGGUGACAAACCGGAGAAGGUGGGGAUGACGUCAAGUCCUCAUGGCCCUUAUGGGCCAGGGCUUCACACGUCAUACAAUGGUCCGGGACAGAGGGUCGCCAACCCGCGAGGAAGGAGCCAAUCCCAGAAGCCAGAUGUAGUCGGAUAACAGUCUGUAACUCGACUGCGUGAAGUCGGAAUCGCUAGUAAUCGCGGAUCAGCAUGUCGCGGUGAAUACGUUCCCAGGGUCUUGUACACACCGCCCGUCACUGUGGGAGUGGGUUUUACCAGAAGUAGUUAGCUAGCAACAAGGAGGGCGAUUACCACGGUAGGAUUCAUGACUGGGGUGAAGUCGUAACAAAGUAG